AUAAUAACGAUAAGGGUGAUCGCAAGGUCACCCGUUUUUUUGUCUUGUUUGACACUCAAUUGGUUUGGCCGCCGACAAGUCAGAUAAGAUCACUGGUGUUACGUAUAGCUGGCUGUUACCAGGAUUCCUUACUAUCACGAAUAACAGUUUCUUGUAACCGAUGCCUGAGCUUAGUCUCGGGCGUUUUCUUU
rnacentral:sRNA from 13 species